rnacentral:tRNA from 1 species
GAUGGUAUAGUUCAGUGGUAGAGCUUGUGCUUUGUAUGCAUGAGGCUCUGGGUUCAGUCCCAGCACCAUCA